GAUGAACGCUGGCGGCGUGCCUAAUACAUGCAAGUCGAGCGAACGGACGAGAAGCUUGCUUCUCUGAUGUUAGCGGCGGACGGGUGAGUAACACGUGGAUAGCCUACCUAUAAGACUGGGAUAACUUCGGGAAACCGGAGCUAAUACCGGAUAAUAUUUUGAACCGCAUGGUUCAAAAGUGAAAGACGGUCUUGCUGUCACUUAUAGAUGGAUCCGCGCUGCAUUAGCUAGUUGGUAAGGUAACGGCUUACCAAGGCAACGAUGCAUAGCCGACCUGAGAGGGUGAUCGGCCACACUGGAACUGAGACACGGUCCAGACUCCUACGGGAGGCAGCAGUAGGGAAUCUUCCGCAAAGGGCGAAAGCCUGACGGAGCAACGCCGCGUGAGUGAUGAAGGUCUUCGGAUCGUAAAACUCUGUUAUUAGGGAAGAACAUAUGUGUAAGUAACUGUGCACAUCUUGACGGUACCUAAUCAGAAAGCCACGGCUAACUACGUG
rnacentral:rRNA from 1 species